GGUCUAACAGGUUAUAAAGACCAGAUAGCUGUCAUUCGAGCCUCCGGAAGUAUUAGUCGCACACGCGGUCCAUUUAGUUCAUCUAGUUCAGGAAUAAUAGCAGAGAAGUUGAUUGAAAAAAUUCGUAGUGUACGAGAGUCGAAAAGGUUUAAAGCUGUCGUCCUUCGAAUUGAUAGCCCUGGAGGAGACGCUCUUGCUUCUGAUUUAAUGUGGAGAGAAAUUAGAUUGCUGGCAGAAUCUAAACCUGUUAUAGCAUCUAUGGCUGAUGUGGCAGCCAGUGGAGGAUAUUAUAUGGCAAUGGCUGCACAAGCUAUUGUGGCAGAGAACCUUACAUUGACAGGCUCAAUAGGUGUGGUGACAGGGAAAUUCAACUUGGGAAAAUUAUAUGAAAAAAUUGGCUUCAAUAAGGAGACAAUAUCAAGGGGAAGAUAUGCAGAGCUUACUGCGGCUGAACAACGACCAUUCAGGCCUGAGGAAGCAGAACUGUUUGCCAAAUCUGCACAGCAUGCAUAUACCCAAUUCCGAGACAAGGCUGCCCUUUCAAGAUCAAUGACGGUGGAUAAAAUGGAGGAGGUUGCACAAGGGAGAGUUUGGACUGGAAAGGAUGCUCUUUCACGAGGUCUAGUUGAUGCUGUCGGUGGUCUCUCUCGUGCUGUAGCAAUUGCAAAACAGAAGGCCAAUAUACCUCAGGAUAGACAGGUUUCUGUUGUUGAGCUGUCAAGGCCAUCCACGUCCUUACCGGAAGUUUUAAGCGGCAUAGGAAGCUCUUUGGCCGGAGCAGAUAGAACUUUAAAAGAGUUGCUAAAUGAUGUGGCAUCAUCUGAUGGGAUCCAAGCCCGUAUGGACGGCGUCAUGUUUGAGAAAUUAGGAGCAGCUGCUUACACCAAUCCCCUGUUUUUGUUGAUAAAAGAUUGCCUCAGUUCCUUCUAAGUCAAAGGCUGUCUGCUGCUGUUGUAUCAGAAAUAUCUCAUUUUGUUAUUUGCUCAAGCACAACGUUCAUACAAGGAUCUUACAUUUUGUUGAGGAUGCAGAAUUCGGUAUGUCUACUUAAGGACAAAAGCAAAAAAUCAGUGGUUGCAGGGUGGUAUAUAUGAGCUCUUGCUGAUUUUAAUUCAGGAUGGGUGGUUCUCAACAAGGGUAUGGAGGUACUACACGAAUUAGUAUCAUGACAUUCUGUUAUAUACAACUACUGUAACUUCGAAACAAUUCCACUUUGCACUUCCGUAUGAGUCAUUCUGUUUGAACAGAUAGAUCCAUUGUGACAACGGCCAUGUAAAAAAUACAGAUAUACAAUUUAGAAGUGG
rnacentral:misc_RNA from 1 species